UACUAGGUACAUAGUAGAGUCUACAAGCACAAUAAUCAAUGCAAAACUAGUUUUUGCUAUAAGUUUAUUUACAAUGUUGAUAAAUGAACUUCCAGAUGAUGGUUUGCAUGCCAUUUUGAAUGACUUAGAUGAUUUAAUACUGCUAUGAAGGUAAUUAUCAAUCAUGUUUUUUUGUAUCAUAAAAAUCAUAUACAGUUAAGCCUCGCAAACGUUGUAUGAAAUUUAGAAACGCCAUCUUUGGGAUUCAAGAUUUUGCUCGCCUUUACAAUUAGAUUAUGUUAAUAAUUUAAAAGAGUUGCAUAAACAUUAUCGCUCACGGCGGCGAGAUCGCACACUACCUUUUAGAGUACAAACUUUGCAAUGUUUUACUGUAUUUUCAUUCAAAUUCUCCAUCUCUUCAGCGAUAAUCACAAUUUUUCAAGUCAACAUAGUCGACUGUUUGCUGUACUAGCUGAAGUGACCGGAGAAAGUCAUAUUAGUCAAAUAGCUCCUGACUUUGAGUUACCGAAGCCAGUGAAAAUCAAGCUAGCUAGAUGCGCACAGGACUAGCUUAAAGUCAGCCCUAAGAUUAGCUCAGCUAAUUUAGCUGCUUAGCCAGAGUUUGGUCUUUAAUUUAAAUGAUUUUUGUGCAAAACAAAACGGGAUUUGACUUGUCGUUUGCGCAUAAAUCAUUAUUAUAUAUUUCAAUAUUAGCAAGCUAGCUUAGCUUUCAGUCAGUUGUAAGCCAAUUUUUACAGUUUUUAGCCGGACCAGGUUAGCUUCAGUAUCUACUCUGAGUAUUAUUAUAUCAUAAAGUUUUAUCUGAAUGAAACAUUUUUUUGUUAUCCUUUAUGUUAUCAUCUGACUGUUGAGGCGCAGUAUUUGAAUAUUUUAUUGUGUUGGCUCUGUAUCAAUUGAAUAAUUGAGCAAAUCAACACUAAAUUUUAGUCAGCCAAUAAAACUUUCAUUUCAGUCUGUAUCAAAUGGAAUCAAUUAAUUGCUGAGCGAACCAAAAAAUUUAAAUACUUUAUUGACUAUCCUGGCUAUUCAUCUGAUUGUGUUUAUUAGCAAAAAAAGACUUUAUUGAUGUAACCUGUCUGAGCAAAUUAUUUCAAAUUUAAUGGUAAGGGACCCUCCUGGUACGAUUUGAUUUGGGAAAUUUCAUGAUGAAUCGAUGGAAAUAAGACAAAAAAGAUGUUUGGUAAAGUGUUAGGACCUAAAUCAGUGAUUUUUGCAAGGAUUAAUCAAUUCAUCUAACAAACGAACAGACAAAUAUUGUGAUAAACUCAAAAUGAUAUCCUCCGGUCGUAUUGAGCCAAGCAUUCCACGAAAUCAUUGCAGCUUAAAACAAUUUCACACUUUCAAUUAUUAUCAACAUUUCAAAAGAGAUACUUUUAAAAGAGAAAUGUUUCCUUAUGAAAAUCUAUCGUUCAUACUCAGGUGGUUACUACGCUGGUCCAGUAUUGGAAAAGCUUAAAAUACUUGAACUGUGUUUAUUAUACCCUCAUGGUGUUUGUUAUGCUUUCCAGUUAAUGGAUUCAUGCCCAAAUUUACAAAGUGCACAUAUUUUCACGCCUACUAAUCGCUUUUUUGUUGAUGAAACAUUGAAACAUGAAUGUUUGCAAGAUUUAGUUAUGUCUUAUGGUGGUCCUUCCUGUCUGGACUGGAAUGAUUUAAAAAGAUCUUUUAUGAAAUAUCCGAACAUCAAACAUCUUUCGCUGAGGAACGUGCGCUACAUAAAAGAUGAACAUAACGAGUAAUUGGUUCAAAUUUUAGCCAAUGCAGUAAUACAAAUGUCAAUAUAAAUUUAAUGCUUUCAAUCGCUAACUAUUAGUACUCUCUCAAAGUUUGUCAAAAAUCAAAUGUAUAUCACCAAUAUCUACUGAGUUAUUAAAGAUUGAAAAUUAUUUCCAUUUUUA